rnacentral:rRNA from 1 species
GAUGAACGCUGGCGGCGUGCUUAACACAUGCCAGUCGAACGGAAAGGCCCAAGCUUGCUUGGGUACUCGAGUGGCGAACGGGUGAGUAACACGUGGGCGAUCUGCCCUGCACUUCGGGAUAAGCCUGGGAAACUGGGUCUAAUACCGGAUAGGACGAUGGUUUGGAUGCCAUUGUGGAAAGUUUUUUCGGUGUGGGAUGAGCUCGCGGCCUAUCAGCUUGUUGGUGGGGUAAUGGCCUACCAAGGCGUCGACGGGUAGCCGGCCUGAGAGGGUGUACGGCCACAUUGGGACUGAGAUACGGCCCAGACUCCUACGGGAGGCAGCAGUGGGGAAUAUUGCACAAUGGGCGCAAGCCUGAUGCAGCGACGCCGCGUGGGGGAUGACGGCCUUCGGGUUGUAAACUCCUUUCGCUAGGGACGAAGCGUUUUGUGACGGUACCUGGAGAAGAAGCACCGGCUAACUACGUG